GACGAACGCUGGCGGCGUGCCUAAUACAUGCAAGUAGAACGCACAGUUUAUACCGUAGCUUGCUACACCAUACACUGUGAGUUGCGAACGGGUGAGUAACGCGUAGGUAACCUGCCUGGUAGCGGGGGAUAACUAUUGGAAACGAUAGCUAAUACCGCAUAAUAUUGAUUAUUGCAUGAUAAUUGAUUGAAAGAUGCUAUUGCAUCACUACCAGAUGGACCUGCGUUGUAUUAGCUAGUAGGUGAGGUAACGGCUCACCUAGGCGACGAUACAUAGCCGACCUGAGAGGGUGAUCGGCCACACUGGGACUGAGACACGGCCCAGACUCCUACGGGAGGCAGCAGUAGGGAAUCGUCGGCAAUGGACGAAAGUCUGACCGAGCAACGCCGCGUGAGUGAAGAAGGUUUUCGGAUCGUAAAGCUCUGUUGUAAGAGAAGAACGGGUGUGAGAGUGGAAAGUUCACACUGUGACGGUAUCUUACCAGAAAGGGACGGCUAACUACGUG
rnacentral:rRNA from 1 species